ensembl:lncRNA
AUGGACAUGUUGGACUUGUUAUCACAGCAAACAGACUAUCGACAUUUCGAGAGAGAGGCAAAUUACCACAACCUCGCUAACUUUCCUUCAAGACAAGAGUCAGGAUACUACAGUGAGGUGAACAUCUUGGUUCUCAGGGAGGUAACUACCAAAUCUGUCUCCAUGAAGCUGCGGCGCAGCACAGUCCUGAGAAGACGACGGCUUCAACAGCGAGAGCAUGUGAAGGGCUCUGAGAGCAUCUGUGUGGUGUUGAGUGACACCGACUGCGGUCAGUCAGACAGUGUGCAGGAAAUACGGGAGCCUGUGUCUGUUAUUCGUGAUAUGAAGCCAGUAAGGAAGAGUAGAGCUGGUUCAUCAUGUCGCGUGAGAACAGAUGAUGAGAGGCCGCUUGCUGUUGUGGAAGCACAACAUGGGACGGUUCAGAAGAUCUCCCUGGCUCCUGGAGCAAUGGCUGAGGACACUCUAGAGAAACUCCGGUUUAGGGCUAAUACCUCUGAGACCGAGAUUGAGUCUCGAGCUGAGCUUGAGGCUGUUUUGGACGAAUCCAGUACUGAUUUCACAGUGGAAUCGGGUCCCAGCUCACCCUGUCGUCCUGUCCACACUGUAAGAUGCAGAGAGUGCGAGAGACUUUUCACCAAGAUGAGAAAACAGCCCACCCCGGAAAAGAAAAGCAGAGAUACAGAUCCAACAUCUUUAUCUUGUGAUGUGUGGGUUCUGCUUAAGAAGUGGCACCCUCAGAGACACCGUCAUCGAGAGAAGGGAUUGUUGUGGACAAGCCUGAGUCGGAUCAGGAAGCUGUUAGCAGGAAGCUCAGAUUUUGCAGCUGUCAACAGAACAGAAGUGAACUGCUCCAGACCUCAUGUGUUUCAGCAGAGGAAUUUACGUCGCUGCAAGUAUCUGCUUUCCAUUCAGACCAACCUGUCCAUAACCAAAGCAAAGCCACGGCAUCGUAAGAGGUCCCGAUCUGUGGUCUGGCCUCCUGUUGCUGGCUGGACAUCUUCAGUGAAAAGGAAGCCUUCUUUGAACAACACAUUAUCUCAGCAGCUUUCUCCUCUCAACCUUAGCGUCAGUGCGACGCAGAAGGACAAACCGCUUGUAGAUGACAAGAUUUCAAGAUUAAAUGCAGAUUUGAAGCAGAACUCUGAAGCCUCCAGUGAACAGAGGACGACUAAUGUCCGGGGCAAACUGAACAAGCAGGAAGUGUUUGAUGGCAUAGACGGAACACGGCGGGCGCUGAAUUUCGAUGACACGUCUGAAACGGUUGCUGGGGAAGCAGCCAAACAGAGGAAAAGCCCUCGGCACAAGCACAAACCUGGAGUGAAUCAUCAAGCUCAGACGGGUUUCCUGAAUGAGCAGCAGGAAGAGAUUUCCGAGGCUUCGGAUGGGUUCAGGACGCCCACAGAUCUGUUCAGCGUGAAGCCUAAGAUGAAACGAGGGAACCAGAAGAAAGUCUCUGCCUCUGGUGUUACAAAACCUGCCGCGCAGAAGCCCAACUUCAUGUCCAUGUUAGCCACUCUGGUGAAGAAUCAGAACCAGAUUAUUAAAGAGUCCUGCAAAUGA